GAGGUCUACUUUGAUAUGUUAAUGGAUGAC
rnacentral:piRNA from 1 species